rnacentral:misc_RNA from 1 species
CAGAGUUGCAAAACUCCCUAAACCCAUGUGAACAUUACCUGAAGUUUGUUGCUUUGGCAGGCGGCCCCAGGGCGGGGCCUGUCGCUUCUUACGAGGCGGCCUGCCAGAGGACCGAAGACUCUGUCAAUUAUACUACUCUGAGUAAAAAUCUAAAUCAGUCA